UCCCUUCCAGGGUCGCACCUGGAGAGUUUCCAGUCCUCUACCGGUCUCGGCUGUGGGAGGGAGAGUCAAGCAGAGGCCUGUCCAUUCCAUUCCUAGCUUGGGCAGUGUUUAGUGAGUGGAAAGCAAUCUGCUACAUGC